rnacentral:misc_RNA from 1 species
GAUGAAGAACGUAGCGAAAUGCGAUAAGUAAUGUGAAUUGCAGAAUUCAGUGAAUCAUCGAAUCUUUGAACGCACAUUGCGCCCGCCAGUAUUCUGGCGGGCAUGCCUGUUCGAGCGUCAUUUCAACCAUCAAGCCCCAGGCUUGUGUUGGGGACCUGCGGCUGCCGCAGGCCCUGAAAACCAGUGGCGGGCUCGCUGUCACACCGGGCGUAGUAGAUUUUAUCUCGCUCAGGGCGUGCUGCGGGUGCCGGCCGUUAAAAAGCCUUUUUUACCCAAGGUUGACCUCGGAUCAGGUAGGAAGACACGCUGAACUUAAGCAUAUCAAUAAGCGGAGGA